GUGCUUGCUUCAGCAUCACAUAUACUAAAAUUCAAACAAUACAAGAUUAGCAUGGCCCCUGUGCUAGGAUGAAAUGAAAAUUCAUGAUAUGUUCCAUAUUUUU